rnacentral:lncRNA from 1 species
GGAACGUGGUUCACUUGUUCUGACCCUUGUAGAGUUUGCUACUGGAUCUCUAGAGCACGCCUCAUUCAACUAGAACAGGCUGCCUAUCACAGCCCCACACAUGUUCUCAGGGGGAAAAAGGUGUUUUUGAACAAGUGAAGCUUUGGAGCUAUGCUACAACUGAGGAGCCAAGAAUGUGGGAUCUGUGAUCUAGUUGACUAGGCAGCACAAGAACCAUAAACAGGUUACAAAUGUAAGAAAGAGGAAAAAAUGGAGAGAGGAGAGAAGGAAAAGUGGGAGGGAAAAAGAAGACUGAAGGAGAGUAACUUAUUCUUUGUCUCGGAAUUUUAUAGUAAUUGAUUUUCUUUAUUGUUUUUGAAAAUUAUUUCAUUUUUUUCUGCUAGAAUAUCAACUAGUCAGGAUGAAAUGUGUAUCAGGUUUCUCAACUUCCUGUUCUGAGACAAGUGUUGAAUAAACACAUGUAUAAAUACAUAGACUUAAAAUGAGC